CCCUUCAUCAUGACCCUUGUCUUCCCAGAGUUGAGGUGAAAAAUUUUGAUGGCUCAGAUCCCAUAGGUUGGGUCAUUCAAAUGAAAAAUUAUUUCUCCUUGCAUGGCAUUACUGAUGAGUUGGAAGCAAAAGGAGGAAUCCACCCAAGGAGGGGCUUGUGUCUGAUUAGUUAGUUGGUGAGGCAAUGGCUUACCAAGGCGACGAUCAGUAGCUGGUCCGAGAGGAUGAUUAGCCACACUGGGACUGGGACACGGCCCAGACUCCUACGGGAGGCAACAGUGGAGAAUUUUCCGAAAUGGGCAAAAACCUGAUGGAGCAAUGAUGCGUGAAGGCAGAAGGCCCACGAGUCAUGAAAACUUUGUUAUGGUGUCCUCUAUAUGGAUCUUGAACGUUGGCAAGGGCGUAAAAAUGCAUGUCAAGGG
rnacentral:ncRNA from 1 species